rnacentral:rRNA from 1 species
GGGAUACAUGCAAGUCGAGCGAACAGACGAGGAGCUUGCUCCUCUGACGUUAGCGGCGGACGGGUGAGUAACACGUGGAUAACCUACCUAUAAGACUGGGAUAACUUCGGGAAACCGGAGCUAAUACCGGAUAAUAUAUUGAACCGCAUGGUUCAAUAGUGAAAGACGGUUUUGCUGUCACUUAUAGAUGGAUCCGCGCCGCAUUAGCUAGUUGGUAAGGUAACGGCUUACCAAGGCAACGAUGCGUAGCCGACCUGAGAGGGUGAUCGGCCACACUGGAACUGAGACACGGUCCAGACUCCUACGGGAGGCAGCAGUAGGGAAUCUUCCGCAAUGGGCGAAAGCCUGACGGAGCAACGCCGCGUGAGUGAUGAAGGUCUUCGGAUCGUAAAACUCUGUUAUUAGGGAAGAACAAAUGUGUAAGUAACUAUGCACGUCUUGACGGUACCUAAUCAGAAAGCCACGGCUAACUACGUGCCAGCAGCCGCGGUAAUACGUAGGUGGCAAGCGUUAUCCGGAAUUAUUGGGCGUAAAGCGCGCGUAGGCGGUUUUUUAAGUCUGAUGUGAAAGCCCACGGCUCAACCGUGGAGGGUCAUUGGAAACUGGAAAACUUGAGUGCAGAAGAGGAAAGUGGAAUUCCAUGUGUAGCGGUGAAAUGCGCAGAGAUAUGGAGGAACACCAGUGGCGAAGGCGACUUUCUGGUCUGUAACUGACGCUGAUGUGCGAAACUGAUCAAACAGGAUUAAUACG